rfam:Ovis aries breed Texel chromosome 2, whole genome shotgun sequence.
UCCCUGAUGGCUCAGAGGUUAAAGCAUCUGCCUCUAAUACAGGAGACCUGGGUUCGAUCCCUGGGUUGGGAA